rnacentral:rRNA from 1 species
AUUGAACGCUGGCGGCAGGCCUAACACAUGCAAGUCGAGCGGCAGCGGGACCUUCGGGUCGCCGGCGAGCGGCGGACGGGUGAGUAAUGCCUAGGAAUCUGCCUGUUAGUGGGGGAUAACGCGGGGAAACUCGCGCUAAUACCGCAUACGUCCUACGGGAGAAAGUGGGGGACCCUCGGGCCUCACGCUAACAGAUGAGCCUAGGUCGGAUUAGCUAGUUGGUGGGGUAAAGGCCCACCAAGGCGACGAUCCGUAACUGGUCUGAGAGGAUGAUCAGUCACACUGGAACUGAGACACGGUCCAGACUCCUACGGGAGGCAGCAGUGGGGAAUAUUGGACAAUGGGCGAAAGCCUGAUCCAGCCAUGCCGCGUGUGUGAAGAAGGUCUUCGGAUUGUAAAGCACUUUAAGUUGGGAGGAAGGGCGCUCGGUGAAUACCCAGGCGUCUUGACGUUACCGACAGAAUAAGCACCGGCUAACUUCGUGCCAGCAGCCGCCGUAAAAC